GGCCUAAAAAUAUUCUAAAGUGCAAAUUUAGAUACGAAGUUGUUCUUCUUGG
rnacentral:tRNA from 1 species